UAUGAUGUAUGUAACAAACGCGUAUUAUACAUACUUGCACAUAAUUACUCUAUUAUUCAUUUCCUUCGUUCCAGAAACAUAAAUGCAAAUAUUAGUGUUCGACCGUUCGCGGAGAGACGCGAUCGCGAGGAAGCACGCCAACGGGAGUCGUAAAUUCCCGUUACGAUUAGACAAUCGACGCCACGAAAUGAUCGAUCCCCUAUUUCGUUUAGGAUAAUAGAGAUGGUUGAAUUGAUGAUAACACUGAGGUAAUAGGUUACAGUUCACACUUUAUUCCGACAACUUGUAGACAAGAUAGUUACGCUCGAUGAGUAUAGAUAUAAGUUAAAUAGGUGACUGAUCUAAGGUGACAACCCUGUUAAGAGAUGUUGACUGUUUUAAAGAUGGAAAAUCAGUAAAUUUCAGUGACGAUGCCGUGACGGAGGGAAGCUAGUGAUGGGUAUGUCUAACGCACGAGACCAUCGGAUUUGUCGAUGACAAUUUUGGCUGGGAAAGUGAGGGCAAUAGUCAUUGCUUCUCAUUGGAUAAGAAAAACGUUGGUGGGCAAGGAAGGGUUCUAAUCACCCUUGAGAGAAAGUUACUAGCGGGAGACACCGUACGUAAGAAAACGGAAUAGACAAUAAAUUUAUGGAACACUUGAAAUAAAAGAUACUUGUUUGGUCUGAAGGACCUUAACUAUGAAAAUGCCAAGAUUUAUGGUGGGUCCUUAAGACUAUUGAGGUUACGCAAUAAGGGUGUGUAGACAUCUGGCUGCCAUCUUGCCCGCGGUGUGGUUUAUGUAGAGAGUCACGGGACCUAACAGGCAC
rnacentral:misc_RNA from 1 species